rnacentral:rRNA from 1 species
GACGAACGCUGGCGGCGUGCUUAACACAUGCAAGUCGAACGAAGUGGCGAACGGGUGAGUAACGCGUAAUCAACCUGCCCUUCAGAGGGGGACAACAGUUGGAAACGAAAGCUAAUACCGCAUACCCAAGGUGGGGAAUGAGGUUGAUUAGCGAGUUGGAGGGGGAACGGCCCACAAAGGCGAGGAUCAGUAGCCGGUCUGGGAGGAUGAAGGGCCAGAUGGGGACUGGGACACGGCCCAGACUCCUACGGGAGGAAGCAGUGGGGAAUCGGCCGCAAUGGACGAAAGUCUGACGGAGCAACGCCGCGUGAGUGAUGACGGCCUUCGGGUUGUAAAGCUCUGUUAAGCGGGACGCGGUACCGGAAUAGAAAGCCACGGCUAACUACGUGCCAGCAGCCGCGGUAAUAC